UACGGAGGGUGCAAGCGUUAUCCGGAUUCACUGGGUUUAAAGGGUGCGUAGGCGGGUAAGGAAGUCCGGGGUGAAAUCUCUGAGCUUAACUCAGAAACUGCCGUGGAUACUAUUUGCCUUGAAUAUUGUGGAGGUGAGCGGAAUAUGUCAUGUAGCGGUGAAAUGCUUAGAUAUGACAUAGAACACCAAUUGCGAAGGCAGCUCACUACACAAUCAUUGACGCUGAGGCACGAAAGCGUGGGGAUCAAACAGG
rnacentral:rRNA from 1 species